CACACCCUGGCAGGUCUGGAUAUGGCUGUCAAGAUCUCAGAGAAGAGAUGACAGUGGAUUGACAAAUAAAAGUCCCAAGUUUUCAUGGGUCAUCAGCAAGCCCCUGGGAAUGUAUAGAGCUGAACAAGAUUUGGAAGAUUGCUGAUUAUCAAAACACAGGUCUUGUCCCAUUGUCAAGCCUUGUCAUUAAUAGCAACCUUGAUCCUG
rnacentral:lncRNA from 1 species